rnacentral:rRNA from 1 species
CCUACGGGGGGCAGCAGUGAGGAAUAUUGGUCAAUGGACGAGAGUCUGAACCAGCCAAGUAGCGUGAAGGAUGACUGCCCUAUGGGUUGUAAACUUCUUUUAUAUGGGAAUAAAAUGUUCCACGUGUGGGAUUUUGUAUGUACCAUAUGAAUAAGGAUCGGCUAACUCCGUGCCAGCAGCCGCGGUAAUACGGAGGAUCCGAGCGUUAUCCGGAUUUAUUGGGUUUAAGGGGAGCGUAGGUGGAUUGUUAAGUCAGUUGUGAAAGUUUGCGGCUCAACCGUAAAAUUGCAGUUGAAACUGGCAGUCUUGAGUACAGUAGAGGUGGGCGGAAUUCGUGGUGUAGCGGUGAAAUGCUUAGAUAUCACGAAGAACUCCGAUUGCGAAGGCAGUUCACUGGACUGCAACUGACACUGAGGCUCGAAAGUGUGGGUAUCAAACAGGAUUAGAUACCUUUGUAGUC